UGUGUAGUUAGGCUGUCGGUCAUUAUUUUCGUUUAGUUCUUUCUUGCGCAAUGAUGUAUCGUUUGACGAUCGUGAACUCUUAAUUUUUAUCUAAUAUUCUUUAGACAUUUACAUUACAUAUUGGCAUUAAAAAACGUGUCACGUAAAUAAGUGUAAUUACGUUAAAUUUCAGAUAGCCUAUACAAUCUGAAAUUAAACUUUAAUUACACAUAGACCACACAUUACAAAACUACACUAAAAUUUAAAGAAACAUAAUAAAACUUACCUAAUACGAAAAAAAUCAGCUUAGGUUGUCACAGAUGAGAAAACACUAUACUAUUAUUUUGUUUUGUACACAUGUGAAAAUAAGCACUUUACUUGCAGAAAAUAAAUUAAUACACAUUCAAAAAUGUAAGAAGUGUGUGAAAGAAAAACAAUAUGAUAGUCGCUCAUUUGUAAUGGGAGAUAUUGUUUACAAGCAUCGGAUUACUGUGUGCCUCUUUUAUUUAUAGAAAAAGAAAUGCCCAUAAAACAAAAUGUCUGUAACGAUUGUGUUGGUGUCAUGUAUGGAAUAUUUUGUUUAAACAUUGGAAACCGCGAUACAGUCCGCGACCGAUGUAGUUCAAUAGAACGGUUCCUAAAGAACUAGUCUUUGAAGUGACUAGUUCAGAACGAACUAGUUCUUUCCAAAGAACUAUAUUUCCCAUCCCUAAACGGCGCACGUAAAUAUGAAGAAAAGACAAAUGAACAACAACAUACGAAGAAAUAUGGAUGAUGUACCAUAACUACAGUACAAACCCAAUAGUUAUUUUAAGAUAAUUACCAUAAUAAGAACUAAAGAUUCUUUGUAGAAUACCAUAACUACUUCAGAAGCAUGAUAGCUACCAUAUUUGCACUAUAGUUACCGUAACAACCGAGAUGUAUAUUUACCGUGAUAGUAAUGUAUUAUUUAUUUAUGACAUAUGAAAUUAAAGAACAUUGUUAAAAAAAAAAAGAUGUUAAACUUUGAUAUGUACGGUUGGCACAUGUUGCUAAGAAAUAAUGCGAUGUGAAAGAAUGCCGUACUACUACGAAAAGUGAAAAUGGUACUCGUGGAUUUUUAGGUUAUGGCAGUCUCUCUCGUUUUUAAGUAAUAUCGGCCAAAAAUUAACAAGCGUACUGUAUCGGAAGUCGGCAGAAAUGCCGAUUCAACUAAAUAUUGGCAAAAUCGGCUUGUUCAAUACAGCUCUACAUUUAAUGACAUGAGUAAACAUAUUUCAGACUUCAGGAUAUUGAAAAAGACUUUAAUUUCCAUGUAGGUUUAUGUGUGUAUGUUUUUUUUUGCAAGUGUAAUUUGAAUGAAGUAAAAUGCUUUUAUUUUUAUUACUUUCAAUUGAUUAAACUUUAAUGACCAGUUACAGAUAUUUAUGACACUAAUUUUGAGGUUAAGCAAUUUUACUAAAGCAUUCCAGCCAAGCAGGUUGCCAGCGAGAGACGCUUCUCUUCUGCUGGAAACACUAUCUCCAAUCGUAGAGCUAAUUUAACUCCUGAACGAAUUAUUGUUCUGCAUGAUAGAUUAAAGAACAGAAUUUAAUAAGACUCUGUGAAAAUCUCUCUCAGAAUUACUGUGCUGAAAAGUGGAAAUGCUGAAACAAUGUGAAUGUACUUUUCAAACAACAUGAUUUUUGGUGCUAAGUUUGUUGAAGCUCAGUAAGGACUCCAGAAAAAUUGGCAAGGAUGAAAUUUUCCCAAAGAUAUGUUACAUUUACACAAACAUAUACUACUGGGUUAUGUUAGUUGGAUGAUAUCAGUUACUAAUGAACCAAUGGAAACAGCUUUGUGUCGCCUACCGAGGGCUUUCUUCAUUUCAUCUAACAAAAUUACAAAUGGAUAAAGGAGAAGAGGCAUCACCACAAGCACAAGGGAAAGAAAUAACACAGAAAUAAAGUGUAUCAUGAGUCGGUGAUCCACAACAAACCUUGUUCAUGACAUCCACGGUGCUCGGGUGCGUCCAGAAGCAGUCGUGCACAGACACGAACGUGAUGCCGUGACGCUCGCAGAACAGCGAUGUCAGCAUCAUGUGACAAGAAUCCAGCGAGUGUAUGAAGUUCGGCGGGAAUGCAUUCUUCUGCUUCAUUACAUUUGGCCGCCUGAAACAUAUCAUUCCACAUUAAAAGCUUUUCGAUACAUUUUAAGUCUCUUUCAUUUUGGACACAAUUCCAAUAAUAAUACUGAAAAAUACUACAUCAGUAUAAAAAAUAUCAUGUAUUGUGUUGGUGCAUUAUGAAUAAAAUCUUUAAAUCAGUUAUUUAAUCAUGAAAUAAAGCUAUGUGAUUGAUAUAAUUGCAAAAAACUUUGAAUAGGUAAGUAUAUUUGAUUAUUAUUUUUAUUUAUCCAUAAAUAUUUCUGAAAUCAUGCAGUAUCCAUACAGAAAUUUUGAAAAUCUAUAAAAUUUUUCUUACAAUACCUUGUAGAAGCCUGCCUAGACCCAAGUUGAAACAGCCUUCUAACAAUGAGCACAAAGAGAAAAAAAACUAAUGCAGACAAUUUACAAAGUCCAUUCUGUUAAGGACACAGAGAAGAUUAGUUGUGAAAGAGGAUGACCAUUCAUGAAAUGCAAAGGCAUAACAUACUUGAUUUGAAAAAAGAGAUAACUCAGGGCAUUUAGUUGUUUUAUUUCCCAAUAAACAACAUUUAAGAAAAUCCUUGACAAAAUGCAAUCCUUCUAAACAAUGCAAGGCAAUGAAUAGUUUGCUUAACAUAAAAGUUUAACAAUUUACACAAAAAAUUCAAGACAACAAUCUAUGUAUUCAUUCCAGUAUAAAUGGAAUACUACACAACUAUAUAAUGCAAUAUGAUAUGGCCUAAAGAUCAAUUUAAUAACAAAUCUGAAACAAACCCUCGGGCAGUUAACCUGGACGUAAUUUCUAAAGUGUGUAAUGUUGCAGAACCCUGCCCUCCUAAAUAAAUAAUUUUCUUUUAAACUUCUUUUUGUAUAGGUAAAUAUAAAUAAGUCAAUGUUUUUAGAGUGGUGUGUAUAUUAUGAGACAGUAUAAUCAGACGUUAUGGCUUUUAAUAUAUGUUAUUUUCACUUGCUAUGUGUUUUAAGAAUGUACCUUGUAUUUUAACAGACAUUUACUAUCAGUACUAUUUUUUAUGUAAUUUUUCACAAAGAAGUCGCUGUUCUAGAUUUUUGCUUGUUUAGGCCUACUUUUUCAGGUUAUUUCUAAAUGAUUUUAAUGUUGUAAAGUAAUUUGUAUUAUAAUUGUUGUUCUUAAUUCUUAAUUAACGUGUGGUAAUAUAAUUAUAAAUCACGGGACUGUGUCUGGGCUGGUGUGAUGGUUAGAAAGAGAGGCAUGAGAGGCCUGUGAGUGGGAGUGAGAAGGGAACAGUGCUUCCCCGCCAACCGAGAUAAAGACGGUAAUUCCCCCCCUGCAUGGGAACCGGGUGAUAACUGCUCUCUCACGGUGUGGGAGAGAGAACGAGAAUGGAACUCCCCGAUUUCGUUGUAAAAUUGAAAAGAGACAAAUCAGGGGAAGCCCAGAUUUCUGUGUGUACAAGAUUUUUUCAUGUGUUGUAACUUGUUCUGUGAUUGGCUAAUAUCUGUAGAGUGAAUGAAGCGUGCGUGUGAUUGGUCGGUGAGGUCAGGUGACUUCUCCUCCCUGCGUGGAGAAGAGAGUGGCCAGACUUCACCAGUCGUCUGUCGAUCGCUGCCACAGUAGGUCGCGUUCGGUGGCUUCUCACUGAAUUAUAAUGUAAUGUACUAAUAGAUAAUUUCACGUUGGUGGUCGGAGCCAGGCCGAAGAUUAAAUCAACCUAAUUUGUUUUUUUUUCUUUCGGACAAUGAAUUAGAAAUUGCGGCCACCUUCGUCGGCAGUUGGCUCGGGGCGGAAUACGUUUUCGCUGGGUGCGGUCCUCUUCGAGGUCGUCCCAUUUUCGUGUACUUGCAGUAAAACAUUACUGAAGGACGAUAUUUUUUUCCGGUAAAUUCUCAUCAUGCGAACUACGAGCAUCUUUUCGACAGUCAGAUAUACAUGUGGAACGAGUGAAUGAACAAUUGUAAGUGUUUGGAUUCGUCGGGGCAUUCUGUUUGGAAAAAAAUAAAAAAACAACAAAAUUUGCAA